AUACUUACCUGGCAGGGGAGAUACCAUGAUCACGAAGGUGGUUUUCCCAGGGCGAGGCUUAUCCAUUGCACUCCGGAUGUGCUGACCCCUGCGAUUUCCCCAAAUGUGGGAAACUCGACUGCAUAAUUUGUGGUAGUGGGGGACUGA
rnacentral:snRNA from 1 species